UGGGCUCAAGCCAUCCUCCUGCCUCUGCCUCCCAAAGAGCUGGGAUUACAGGCGUGAGCCACCGCGCCCGACCUCUCCUAGUAACCCUAACCCUCACAAAUAACCACCAUUUUCUUCUAGAAGAUGCCUGGGAAUAUACAUGUGUGCGUGUGCAAGAGUUCUUGACAGCAUAUAGUUAGGAAAGGAAUUGCUGAGUAGGGUGUGCUCCCCUUCAAUUUUAUCAUAUAUUGUCUGGUUUUCAAAGUGGCGUAAUGCAUUGCCCUCCCAUCAGGGAUGUGUGAGACUUCCAUUUGUUCUACUUUUUGCACAACACUUGAUUAAACUUGGUUGGACUUUUAAAUUGUUUCCAGUCUGGUGGGAGUGUAAUGGUAGUUUUUUUGUGUAUUUUCAAAAAAACCUUUUAUUAUGAGCUAUUACCUACAUAUGGAAAAAUGCAUAAAACAAGGCCGGGAGCAGUGGCUCACGCCUGUAAUGCCAGCUCUUAGGGAGGCUGAGGUGGGAGGAUUGCUUGAACCCAGGAGUUUGAAAUCAGCUGGGCGAGACCCUUCCUCUAACAAAAAAAAAAAAAAAGUGUAUAAAACAAUGCACUGUGUAACGAACCGUGAAGUAAACAUCACCUGUAUUAAGAACUAGAAUAACCCUAGAUGCUCUCUGUGUAUCUUUUUCUAAUCAUAAUCUCUUUACUGCCUCCCAGAGGUAACCAUCAUAAAAGUCAGGAUAGUGGUUACUAUAUUGCUUAGU
rnacentral:lncRNA from 1 species